AUAGCGUAUAUUAAAGUUGUUGCAGUUAAAAAGCUCGUAGUUGAACCUUGGGCCUGGCUGGCCGGUCCGCCUCACCGCGUGCACUGGUCCGGCCGGGUCUUUCCUUCUGGCUACCCGCAUGCCCUUCAUUGGGUGUGUUGGGGAACCAGGACUUUUACUUUGAAAAAAUUAGAGUGUUCAAAGCAGGCAUUAGCUCGAAUACAUUAGCAUGGAAUAAUAGAAUAGGACGUGUGGUUCUAUUUUGUUGGUUUCUAGGACCAUCGUAAUGAUUAAUAGGGAUAGUCGGGGGCAUCAGUAUUCAAUCGUCAGAGGUGAAAUUCUUGGAUCGAUUGAAGACUAACUACUG
rnacentral:rRNA from 1 species